rnacentral:rRNA from 1 species
AUUGAACGCUGGCGGCAUGCUUUACACAUGCAAGUCGAACGGUAACAGGUCUUUCGGGAUGCUGACGAGUGGCGAACGGGUGAGUAAUGUAUCGGAACGUGCCCAGUAGUGGGGGAUAACUACUCGAAAGAGUGGCUAAUACCGCAUGAGAUCUCUGGAUGAAAGCGGGGGACCGUAAGGCCUCGCGCUACUGGAGCGGCCGAUAUCAGAUUAGGUUGUUGGUGAGGUAAAGGCUCACCAAGCCGACGAUCUGUAGCUGGUCUGAGAGGACGACCAGCCACACUGGGACUGAGACACGGCCCAGACUCCUACGGGAGGCAGCAGUGGGGAAUUUUGGACAAUGGGCGCAAGCCUGAUCCAGCAAUGCCGCGUGCAGGACGAAGGCCUCG